CUCACUAGAGGUAUUUUUUUAUAAUAAAAAUAAAAUAAAAGACUGUUCAGAUCGUAUGUCCCCUGUCCAAGUCCGCGCCCGGUCACCGCCUAGCAUCACGGCGAUCUGCAGCGGCGCGUCCUAACAUCCUCCCUUAACGCACUUUUUAUCCUCUCCGAAUCUUUCUUUCUUUCCUCUAUACGACUUCUAUCGUUCUCUCUCUCUACUUCUGGAAAAGCCUACGAACUUGUUUCAACUCAAAUCGUCAUCAAUACUCUCUCUAUAUCUCACAUCAAUAUGGUGAAAUUUGUUCGACAGUUAGUCGAAAUCGUUGCAAAUUCAGUUCAUCUUCGGUCAAAUUGUAGUUCAAUUCAUAGAAAUUUCCGCUGGUGUAUUGUAUGAUCCAACAAUGGCGAAAAUUAGGGAUAGGACUGAGGAUUUCUAAGAUGCUAUUCGCCGUGAAGCCGUUUCUUUGGAGGACAACGAGGUUGUUGUAAAUUGGAAGGAGAACGAAGAAGAAAUAAAGGCAACUUAAGGGGACUGGUGUUGUAUUAUACUGCCUCAUUGUGUUUGUAAAAAGGGAGCUUAAAUAUUCCAUCCAAAAAUUUGGGUACUAAAUUUAAAAAGUGUUGUAAUUUUAAAAUUUUCAGAAAAUUGGAUGACCUUGUACAGUUGUAAACUUGGUGGGAAAUGAGUUUGCUUUAUUGUCAACCUCUCCCCUAUGUGAAGAGUUAAUCUAAUUUUAAGUACUUC